rnacentral:lncRNA from 1 species
AACCUCCAAGGAUACUCAUCUACUAACAAGUUUCCUUGAGUUAGCUGCAUAAAUUCCAACUCCUUAUGAUGUUGAAGUUGUGAAGAAAAAUAUUCAGCGUUGAACGCCCCCAGAAACCAUUCCCAGGUGAUGAGAGGGGGUAAAGUGGUCUGCCUGAACUUCCACCAACGGUCAGCUUCGCCUACAAGUAGAUAUGUAACAAGAAUCAUUUUCUGCUCAGUAGUCACCCCCAAAACUCGGGAUGUCUUUUCAACUGC